rnacentral:rRNA from 1 species
GUGUCAGCAGCCGCGGUAAUACGGAGGGGGCUAGCGUUGUUCGGAAUGACUGGGCGUAAAGCGCGCGUAGGCGGAUGGACAAGUUGGGGGUGAAAGCCCGGGGCUCAACCUCGGAACUGCAUUCGAUACUGGUCGGCUAGAGUUCGAGAGGGGGAUGCGGAAUUCCGCGUGUAGCAGUGAAAUGCGUAGAUAUGCGGAGGAACACCUGAGGCGAAGGCGGCAUCCUGGAUCGACACUGACGCUGAGGCCCGAAAGCGUGGGGAGCAAACAGGAUUAGAUACCCUGGUAGUCCACGCCCUAAACGAUGUCUACUAGCCGUUGCGGGUAUCGACCCCUGCAGUGGCGCAGCUAACGCGAUAAGUAGACCGCCUGGGGAGUACGGCCGCAAGGUUAAAACUUAAAGGAAUUGACGGGG